rnacentral:rRNA from 1 species
UACGGAGGGGGCUAGCGUUGUUCGGAAUUACUGGGCGUAAAGCGCACGUAGGCGGCUUUGUAAGUUAGAGGUGAAAGCCCAGGGCUCAACCCUGGAAUUGCCUUUAAGACUGCAUCGCUUGAAUCAUGGGGAGGUGAGUGGAAUUCCGAGUGUAGAGGUGAAAUUCGUAGAUAUUCGGAAGAACACCAGUGGCGAAGGCGACUCACUGGACAUGUAUUGACGCUGAGGUGACGAAAGCGUGGGGAGCAAACAGG